rnacentral:rRNA from 1 species
UGGGGAAUAUUGCACAAUGGGCGGAAGCCUGAUGCAGCAACGCCGCGUGCGGGAUGACGGCCUUCGGGUUGUAAACCGCUUUCGCCUGUGACGAAGCGUGAGUGACGGUAAUGGGCAAAGAAGCACCGGCUAACUACGUGCCAGCAGCCGCGGUGAUACGUAGGGUGCGAGCGUUGUCCGGAUUUAUUGGGCGUAAAGGGCUCGUAGGUGGUUGAUCGCGUCGGAAGUGUAAUCUUGGGGCUUAACCCUGAGCGUGCUUUCGAUACGGGUUGACUUGAGGAAGGUAGGGGAGAAUGGAAUUCCUGGUGGAGCGGUGGAAUGCGCAGAUAUCAGGAGGAACACCAGUGGCGAAGGCGGUUCUCUGGGCCUUUCCUGACGCUGAGGAGCGAAAGCGUGGGGAGCGAACAGGCUUAGAUACCCUGGUAGUCCACGCUGUAAACGGUGGGUACUAGGUGUGGGGUCCAUUCCACGGGUUCCGUGCCGUAGCUAACGCUUUAAGUACCCCGCCUGGGGAGUACGGCCGCAAGGCUA